rnacentral:rRNA from 1 species
GACGUAGGGCGCGAGCGUUGUCCGGAUUCAUUGGGCGUAAAGGGUGCGUAGGUGGCAUGGUAAGUCGGGUGUGAAAUCCCGGGGCUCAACCCCGGAACUGCACUCGAUACUGCCGUGCUCGAGUACUGGAGAGGAGACUGGAAUUUACGGUGUAGCAGUGAAAUGCGUAGAUAAUCGUAAGGAAGACCGGUGGCGAAGGCUAGUCUCUGGACAGUUACU